AGUAUUCACUACAGUAAGUCGCUCUGGAUAAGAGUGUCUGCUAAAUGACUAAAA
rfam:Salmo salar isolate Sally breed double haploid chromosome ssa07, whole genome shotgun sequence.